rnacentral:rRNA from 1 species
AGUGAACGCUGGCGGUAGGCCUAACACAUGCAAGUCGAACGGCAGCACAGUAAGAGCUUGCUCUUACGGGUGGCGAGUGGCGGACGGGUGAGGAAUACAUCGGAAUCUACUUUUUCGUGGGGGAUAACGUAGGGAAACUUACGCUAAUACCGCAUACGACCUACGGGUGAAAGCAGGGGAUCUUCGGACCUUGCGCGAUUGAAUGAGCCGAUGUCGGAUUAGCUAGUUGGCGGGGUAAAGGCCCACCAAGGCGACGAUCCGUAGCUGGUCUGAGAGGAUGAUCAGCCACACUGGAACUGAGACACGGUCCAGACUCCUACGGGAGGCAGCAGUGGGGAAUAUUGGACAAUGGGCGCAAGCCUGAUCCAGCCAUACCGCGUGGGUGAAGAAGGCCUGCGGGUUGUAAAGCCCUUUUGUUGGGAAAGAAAAGCAGCAGGUUAAUACCCCGCUGUUCUGACGGUACCCAAGGAAUAAGCACCGGCUAACUUCGU